AUGGUGUAAUGCACAUAAAGUUUUCAUCUUUAAAGUGGGCAAAAUAGCUCUUUAAAUUU
rnacentral:tRNA from 1 species